AUACGGAGGAUGCGAGCGUUAUCCGGAUUUAUUGGGUUUAAAGGGAGCGUAGGUGGGAUAUUAAGUCAGCUGUGAAAGUUUGGGGCUCAACCUUAAAAUUGCAGUUGAUACUGGUUUCCUUGAGUACGGUACAGGUGGGCGGAAUUCGUGGUGUAGCGGUGAAAUGCUUAGAUAUCACGAAGAACUCCGAUCGCGAAGGCAGCUCACCGGGCCGGAACUGACACUGAUGCUCGAAAGUGCGGGUAUCAAACAGGAUUAGAUACCCUGGUAGUCCGCACCGUAAACGAUGAAUACUCGCUGUUUGCGAUACACGGUAAGCGGCCAAGCGAAAGCGUUAAGUAUUCCACCUGGGGAGUACGCCGGCAACGGUGAAACUCAAAUGAAUUGACGGGG
rnacentral:rRNA from 1 species